GGAUACUUCCAAGACGGUAGAAAAAUAAAGGAGUGAGAUGGCAAUGACUGAAUUUUCAUUACUGCAGGCCAGUCUGUGUGUCACUCUUCAUUGGAUUGGUAGUUUGGAGUCAGCAGCAGCAGCAGUAGGUGACAAAAGUUUGUUGUUCUAGUUAAGUGUCACAGUCAGGAAUUAAGCUUGUUUCGUUACAAUCUAGCACAUUCUCUGGAUCUGCCUUUUAUUUUAAAGGAGAACGAUGCAAUCUAAAGAUCCUAAAAGGGGAAAGAGACGGUCUCGAUCUGUGCACUGCUUUUGAAAGGAAAUCCCACAGAUUCUUGAAAGUUGAAACCCAGAAAUACGCCUCGAUGGAGCGUACUAUGUUGGAUACCUCUGCUGGUUUCUGGCUUCAUUUUGCUCCGCGAAUACCUCUGCCGCGUCAGGAAACAGCACGGAUUUUGAGAACAGAACUACAAAAAGGAAACAACCUUGUCCCUUCGACAACAAGAAAAAAAAAAACCUUGUCCCUCGACAACAAGAAAACUAACUACUUUGGUGACAAAUAACGCCAUACCAUACCCUGUACUUGGUGGCAGAUCACUGGUAGAGGAGCUAGCCGGUACGAGUAUCAAUUAGUACGCCAGAUUUUCUAGAAGUAACCCGGUGGACCUCUUCAAGGCCUCAAGCCGUCCGAACGCACCAGACAGUGCCAGCACUUACACACAUGGCACGCACCCACCUGCCUGUAAGCCAGUACUAGUAGUAACUGAUUAAGCUUCCAGCCAUGCGUGCACAGUCGAGCGUGAGACGUGAGCGACGACGGUCCGUUAAAACGCUUCUUGCUAAGGUGUGGGGAGCACCGCUCACGUGAAAAGGUGAAGCCCAAGCGGAGAACGAAGAUCUGAGAGGGCAAUCCACAGAUAUCUAUUCCAUCUGGUUGCUGGUGCCCGUGCUGGUGCCGGGACCAUGUGUGCACUGCUAGCGUGUGAUAGAGUUCCUCAAG
rnacentral:lncRNA from 1 species